UACAGAGGUCUCAAGCGUUGUUCGGAUUCAUUGGGCGUAAAGGGUGCGUAGGCGGCGCGGUAAGUCGGGUGUGAAAUCUCGGAGCUUAACUCCGAAACUGCAUUCGAUACUGCCGUGCUUGAGGACUGGAGAGGAGACUGGAAUUUACGGUGUAGCGGUGAAAUGCGCAGAUAUCAGGAGGAACACCGACGGCGAAGGCAGCACUCUGGGCCGGUACUGACGCUGAGGAGCGAAAGCGUGGGGAGCAAACAGG
rnacentral:rRNA from 1 species